rnacentral:rRNA from 1 species
GGACCCGCACAAGCGGUGGAGCAUGUGGUUUAAUUCGAUGCAACGCGAAAAACCUUACCUACUCUUGACAUACUUGGGAGCUCUUGUAAUGAGAGUGUGCCUUUUGGAACCAAGAUACAGGUGCUGCAUGGCUGUCGUCAGCUCGUGUCGUGAGAUGUUCCGUUAAGUCGGAUAACGAGCGCAACCCUUACCCUUAUUUGCCAGCGAUUCGGUCGGGAACUAUAAGGGGACUGCCGGUGAUAAACCGGAGGAAGGUGAGGACGACGUCAAGUCAUCAUGGCCCUUACGAGUAGGGCUACACACGUGCUACAAUGGGGAAUACAGACGGACGCUAAGCCGCGAGGUGGUGCUAAUCCUAGAAAGUGCGUCGUAGUCCGGAUCGGAGUCUGCAACUCGACUCCGUGAAGUCGGAAUCGCUAGUAAUCG